rnacentral:lncRNA from 1 species
UGUUCCCCGUUUCUUCUCUAGCCUGAGCCUGACACACUAUUCAAGCUAGACAUGGAUGUGGCUCGUAACACCUGAUGACCAAACGGAUCUACGGCACCAUCGAAUCCCAAACUUUAACUGCCAAAACUAUUGUUUUUCAUCCUGUAGUCCCUUUUAGAAUUACUAAACGUCCUUUUUUGGGCCGAGAUUUCCAGGAAUGCUUUCUCGGGGUUUGUGUGCAAGUAUUUCAAACCAUACAAAGCUAGAAAUUAGAAGUCAUUCCAUCUUUAUUAUCGUAGAGCCUUCCAGCAGUUCCUAAACCGGUCUAGUCGGAGCACGUUAUCAUUCUAGUUAGUUCUGAGUGAAUUCCCUCGGUAUGAUAAUUCUUUCAUCAGUUUGUUCCCCGUUUCUUCUCUAGCCUGAGCCUGACAAACUAUUCUAGCUAGACAUGCGUGUGGCUCGUAACACCUGAUGACCAAACGGAUCUAUAGCACCAUCGAAUCUCAAACUUUAACUGCCAAAACUAUUGUUUUCAUCCUGUAGUCCCUUUUAGAAUUACUAAACUUCCUUUUUUGGGCCGAGAUUUAGAGGAACGCUUUCUGGGGUUUGUGUGCAAGUAUUUCAAACCAUACAGACCUAAAAAUUAGAAGUCAUUCCAUCUUUAUUCCCCUAGAGCCUUCCAGCAGUUCCUAAACCGCUCUAGUCGGAGCACGUUAUCAUUAUUGUUAGUUCUGAGUGAAUUCCCUCGGUAUGAUAAUUCUUUCAUCAGUUUGUUCCCUGUUUCUUCUCUAUCCUGAGCCUGACACACUAUUCUAGCUAGACAUGGGUGUGGCUCGUAACACCUGAUGACUAAAUGGAUCGACGGCACCAUCGAAUCUCAAACUUUAACUGCCAAAACUAUUGUUUUUCAUCCUGUAGUCCCAUUUAGAAUUAGUAAACGUCCUUUUUUGGGCCGAGAUUUAGAGGAACGCUUUCUCGGGGUUUGUGUGCAAGUAUUUCAAACCAUACGGACCUAAAAAUUAGAAGUCAUUCCAUCUUUAUUCCCCUAGUCAUCAGGUAUACACUCAAGUCGGAGCACGUUAUCAUUCUUGUUAGUUCUGAGUGAAUUCCCUCGGUAUGAUAAUUCUUUCAUAAAUUUGUUCCCCGUUUCUUAUAUGGCCUGAGCCUGACACACUAUUCUAGCUAGACAUGGGUGUGGCUCGUAACACCUGAUGACCAAACGGAUCUACGGCACCAUCAAAUCUCAAACUUUAACUGCCAAAACUAUUCUUUUUCAUUCUGUAGUCCCUUCUAGAAUUACUAAACGUCCUUUUUUGGGCCGAGAUUUCCAGGAACGCUUUCUCGGGGUUUGUGUGCAUGUAUUUCAAACCAUACAGACCUAAAAAUUAUAAGUCAUUCCAUCUUUAUUCCCGUAGAGCCUUCCAGUAGUUCCUAAACCGCUCCAGUCGGAGCAUGUUAUCAUUCUUGUUAGUUCUAAGUGAAUUCCCUCGGUAUGAUAAUUCUUUCAUCAGUUUGUUCCCCGUUUCUUCUCUAGCCUGAGCCUGGCACACUAGUCUAGCUAGACAUGGGUGUGGCUCGUAACACCCGAUGACUAAAUGGAUCGACGGCACCAUCGAAUCUCAAACUUUAACUGCCAAAACUAUUGUUUUUCAUCCUGUAGUCCCAUUUAGAAUUACUAAACGUCCUUUUUUGGGCCGAGAUUUAGAGGAACGCUUUCUCGUGGUUUGUGUGCAAGAAUUUCAAACCAUACGGACCUAAAAAUUAGAAGUCAUUCCAUCUUUAUUCCCCUAGAGCCUUCCAGUAGUUCCUAAACCGCUCUAGUCGGAGCACGUUAUCAUUCUUGUUAGUUCUGAGAGAAUUCCCUCGGUAUGAUAAUUCUUUUAUCAGUUUGUUCCCCGUUUCUUCUCUAGCCUGAGCCCGACACACUAUUCUAGCUAGACAUGGGUGUGGCUCGUAACACCUGAUGACCAAACGGAUCUACGGCACCAUCGAAUCUCAAACUUUAACUGCCAAAACUAUUGUUUUUCAUCCUGUAGUCCCUUUUAGAAUUACUAAAUGUCCUUUUUUGGGCCGAGAUUUCCAGGAACGCUUUCUCAGGGUUUGUGUGCAAGUAAUUCAAACCAUACGGACCUAAAAAUUAGAAGUCAUUCCAUCUUUAUUCCCCUAGAGCCUUCCAGCAGUUCCUAAACCGCUCAAGUCAGUGCACGUUAUCAUUCUUGUUAGUUCUAAGUGAAUUCCCUCGGUAUGAUAAUUUGUUCAUCAGUUUGUUCCCCGUUUCUUCUCUAGCCUGAGCCUGACACACUAUUCUAGCUAGACAUGGGUGUGGCUCGUAACACCUGAUGACCAAACGGAUCUACGACACCAUCGAAUCUCAAACUUUAACUACCAAAACUAUUGUUUUUCAUCCUCUAGUCCCUUUUAGAAUUACUAAACGUCCUUUUUUGGGCCGAGAUUUCCAGGAACGCUUUCUCGGGGUUUGUGUGCAUGUAUUUCAAACCAUACAGACCUAAAAAUUAGAAGUCAUUCCAUCUUUAUUCCCGUAGAGCCUUCCAGCAGUUCCUAAACCGCUCCAGUCGGAGCAUGUUAUCAUUCUUGUUUGUUCUGAGUGAAUUCCCUCGGUAUGAUAAUUCUAUCAUCAGUUUGUUCCCCGUUUCUUCUCUAGCCUGAGCCUGGCAAACUAUUCUAGCUAGACAUGGGUGUGGCUCGUAACACCUGAUGACCAAACGGAUCUACGACACCAUCGAAUCUCAAACUUUAACUACCAAAACUAUUGUUUUUCAUUCUAUAGUCCCUUCUAGAAUUUCUAAACGUCCUUUUUUGGGCCGAGAUUUCCAGGAAUGCUUUCUCGGGGUUUGUGUGCAAGUAUUUCAAAUCAUACGGACCUAAAAAUUAGAAGUCAUUCCAUCUUUAUUCCCCUAGAGCCUUCCAGUAGUUCCUAAACCGCUCCAGUCGGAGCACGUUAUCAUUCUUGUUAGUUCAUAGUGAAUUCCCUCGGUAUGAUAAUUCUUUCAUCAGUUUGUUCCCCGUUUCUUCUCUAGCCUGAGCCUGGCACAGUAUUCUAGCUAGACAUGGGUGUGGUCGUAACACCUGAUGACUAAAUGGAUCGACGGCACCAUCGAAUCUCAAACUUUAACUGCCAAAACUAUUGUUUUUCAUCCUGUAAUCCCAUUUAGAAUUACUAAACGUCCUUUUUUGGGCCGAGAUUUAGAGGAACGCUUUGUUGGGGUUUGUGUGCAAGUAUUUCAAACCAUACGGACCUAAAAAUUAGAACUCAUUCCAUAUUUAUUCCCCUUGAGCCUUCCAGCAGUUCCUAAACCGCUCUAGUCGGAGCACGUUAUCAUUCUUGUUAGUUCUAAGAGAAUUCCCUCGGUAUGAUAAUUCUUUUAUCAGUUUGUUCCCCGUUUCUUCUCUAGACUGGGCCCGACACACUAUUCUAGCUAGACAUGGGUGUGGCUCGUAACACCUGAUGACCAAACGGAUCUACGGCACCAUCGAAUCUCAAACUUCAACUGCCAAAACUAUUGUUUUUCAUCCUGUAGUCCCUUUUAGAAUUACUAAACGUCCUUUUUUGGGCCGAGAUUUCCAGGAACGCUUUCUCGGGGUUUGUGUGCAAGUAUUUCAAACCAUACGGACCUAAAAAUUAGAAGUCAUUCCAUCUUUAUUCCCGUAGAGCCAUCCAGCAGUUCCUAAACCGCUCCAGUCGGAGCACGUUAUCAUUCUUGUUAGUUCUGAGUGAAUUCCCUCGGUAUGAUAAUUCUUUCAUCAGUUUGUUCCCCGUUUCUUCUCUAGCCUGAGCCUGACAAACUAUUAUAGCUAGACAUGGGUGUGGCUCGUAACACCUGAUGACCAAACGGAUCUAUGGCACCAUCGAAUCUCAAACUUUAACUGCCAAAACUAUUGUUUUUCAUCCUGUAGUCCCUUUUAGAAUUACUAAACGCCCUUCUUUGGGACGAGAUUUCCAGGAACGCUUUCUCGGGGUUUGUGUGAAAGUAAUUCAAACCAUACGGACCUAAAAAUUAGAAGUCAUUCCAUCUUUAUUCCCGUGGAGCCUUCCAGUAGUUCCUAAACCGCUCCAGUCGGAGCACGUUAUCAUUCUUGUUAGUUCUGAGUGAAUUCCCUCGGUAUGAUAAUUCUUUCAUCAGUUUGUUCCCUGUUUCUUCUCUAGCCUGAGCCUGGCACACUAUUCUAGCUAGACAUGGGUGUGGCUCGUAACACCUGAUGACUAAACUGAUCAAUGACACCAUCGAAUCUCAAACUUUAACUGCCAAAACUAUUGUUUUUCAUCCUGUAGUCCCAUUUAGAAUUACUAAACGUCCUUUUUUGGGCCGAGAUUUCCAGGAACGCUUACUCGGGGUUUGUGUGCAAGUAUUUCAAACCAUACUGACCUAAAAAUUAGAAGUCAAUCCAUCUUUAUUCCCCUAGAGCCUUCCAGCAGUUCCUAAACCGCUCCAGUCGGAGCACGUUAUCAUUCUUGUUAGUUCUGAGUGAAUUCCCUCGGUAUGAUAAUUCUUUCAUCAGUUUGUUCCUUGUUUCUUCUCUAGCCUGAACCUGACACACUAUUCUAGCUAGACAUGGGUGUGGCUCGUAACACCUGAUGACCAAACGGAUCUACGGCACCAUCGAAUCUCAAACUUUAACUGCCAAAACUAUUAUUUUUAAUCCUCUAGUCCCAUUUAGAAUUACUAAACGUCCUUUUUUGGGCCGAGAUUUAGAGGAACGCUUUCAUGCGGUUUGUGUGCAAGUAUUUCAAACCAUACGGACCUAAAAAUUAGAAGUCAUUCCAUCUUUAUUCCCCUAGAGCCUUCCAGCAGUUCCUAAACCGCUCCAGUCGGAGCAUGUUAUCAUUCUUGUUAGUUCUGAGUGAAUUCCCUCGGUAUGAUAAUUCUUUCAUCAGUUUGUGGCCCGUUUCUUCUCUAGCCUGAGCCUGACACACUAUUCUAGCUAGACGUGGGUGUGGCUCGUAACACCUGAUGACCAAACGGAUCUACGGCACCAUCGAAUCUCAAACUUUAAGUGCCAAAACUAUUAUUUUUAAUCCUGUAGUCCCAUUUAGAAUUACAAAAAUGUCCUUUUUUGGGCUGAGAUUUCCAGGAACGCUUUCGUGCGGUUUGUGUGCAAGUAUUUCAAACCAUACAGACCAAAAAAUUAGAAGUCAUUCCAUCUUUAUUCCCUU